rnacentral:rRNA from 1 species
GACAGAGGCGGCAAGCGUUGUUCGGAAUCACUGGGCAUAAAGGGCGCGUAGGUGGUCGGCAAGGUUAGGGGUGAAAUCCCCGGGCUCAACCCGGGAAACGCCUCUAAAACCGUCCGACUGGAGCGAAACAGGGGAGAGUGGAACUCGUGGUGGAGCGGUGAAAUGCGUAGAUAUCACGAGGAACGCCGGCGGCGAAGGCGACUCUCUGGGUUUCUGCUGACACUGAGGCGCGAAAGCUGGGGGAGCAAACGGGAUUAGAUACCCCGGUAGUCCCAGCCGUAAACGAUGAGCACUAGGUAGAAGAGGUACCCAAUCCUUUUCUGCCGGAGAUAACUCGCUAAGUGCUCCGCCUGGGGAGUACGGCCGCAAGGUUGAA